CUGGGAAGAGGAAACCCGAGCAAGGAGACUCUUUAAUGAUCGAUCAACAUCUCCUCGCGCAGCGCGACGAGAGCGAUUGAAAUCGCAGCAAUGCAACAAAGCGACAGUGAUCGUCCGGAAUUCGCCAUUGCGACUUCGACGCGUGGGUUUCUCUGCCAAUUCCCGUAAGCAUCGAACAAAAAAAAACGAGGAGUUCUCUCUCUUCUAGAAAGUGUGGAAACUUUGAGUUUCAGGGGUAGCACAGUGAUUCCGAGCAAGUCAAGCGCGAAAGAAGAAGCCAAGCCGAAAUACUAGCGCGCAUAUUUUCUCUUUGUCGGUCUAGCGUCGGCGUUGAUGGCGAUGUACCACGUACGCUCUGGAUGCUGACACGUGGACGGUCCACCUUUUAUGUGUCUUUGAAUUUAAUUCUAUUGGUGGACAUGGCACCUAACGUUGUUGUCCACAUCUUA